CUCUUCUCUGAGGUGUGAUCCUUGGGGAGCAGAUUCUGCUGCUUUCUACUUCCCUCUGUCCAAGAGCUGCCCAAUGUCCAGGGCUGGGGGAAGUGAGGGGGGGAGAAAAGCCCAGGGACUGGUGGAGAGGGCAGCUUGUGUGCAGUUGCAGAGAGAGGGUUCAAGACUGGGCUGAGGUGUGGCUACUUAGGUUCUCUUUUCUGUGUGGCCUUGGGCAGGACACUCCUGUUUAGGGCCUCACCACCCCAACCUUAAAACUAUUAAAUUCAGCCCUGUCUGUCUCCUUCACCCACUGCAGAGGAAAGGGUCGGGGAGGAGAUUCUUAAGGACAACGGAAAUGACGCCAGUGGCAGUCUCCUGAGAUGUGCUUGGUGACAGCGGCCAGAAGAAACGGGGUGGGGUGGGGGGCUCUAAGUCCAUUUCAGAGCUUCGCUUUCACUUCUCAUCCUGGGGGUCAGCUAUAGGGUGGGGCUCCCCCUAGUUCCUGGAACAACUCCGACCUGAUUCCUGGAAAAGCCUGAAGCUGUUACCCAGCAAAUCCCAUCGUUUAGUCCAGAGCUGGCUCUGGUUUUACAGGUCCUCGCCCUUCCACAGCAACCCACCCCUUCUCUUCUCCCCACCCAAGAUAAAGGCAGCAAAACAAGGGGUCUCAGCAGUCCAGUCCCAACUCUCCCACUCAUCAGGGGAAGCGUCCAGCGUCUGGCAGAUAAAUCAGCUGUUUGAAGACUAGAGGUGACAAGGGCUCGUUAUCUCACAAGGCGAUCCAUUCUAAUACUAAACAUCUCUAAGCUGAAAUGAGUUUCUGUCAGUUCCUAUCUAUUAUUUUGAUCCUCUGUGGCCAUACAAGUUUAAUCUGACCUGGAUCAGCCCUUGCGUUACAUGAAGACAGAGCUCGGGUGCCCUGGUCUUCUCCAGGGGCCCCAACCUGGACUGACUUCUCAGUAAUUCGAUAAACUUACCUGCAUUACUGUCAAAAGCCAGAGGGAGGUGGGUAGGAAGCACAGACCUACUGCCAGGCUGCACUUUGGGGUCAAACUGGGUGAAUUGGGGAGAGAUGAUUUUUUGAGGGUCGGCCGGCUUUGGGACAGUGAGUCUUGUAAGACCUCAUUCCCUAACCUUACAGCUUAAAGGGGACUUUAAGGUUUGAGGUCAGGUACAGAACCCGCCCCCAACCCAAAGCAAUAACCAGGUAGACCCAGGGGGGUUUUCAGGCAUUGCUCCCCUGUAUCUUGAGGGAAGAAUUUGCUCUCUCAUUCUACUUCACUACAUCCAGUCAAUAACUCUUCAUAAAAAAUUUAUUGUCAUUAGGAUCCUAAGUGCUGGAGAUGAAAGUCCUAAACUGAACCUCAGAGCAUUACAAUUUUCAGACUAGAGCAUUUUAGAAAGUCCCAUUCUUUUCUUAGUGUUUUAAAUUGAAAAAAAAAUUCUAUUAUAAAGGGGCGAAAGACAGGACAAAAUCACAAGAGGGCUCAAGGAGUUUGGGGCCCUCAUUCCUCAUGACUGGCAUGUCAUAAGCAGAGGCUAGAGUGGGAGGAGUCACUGUGAGACAACACUCUUCCCACCACUGCUUUUGGAAGGCUCACUGGCUGCUCCUUCUGAAUAAAUACCGAAACGGGAAGAGAGAGCUGCAGGGAAGAAAGCAGAGCAGGUUGAGAUUCUAGAGGUCCCCUUCCCUUCUCCCAGGUCCCAUUAGUGCUCCAUUAGCUAGGGCAUUUUUGCUCUGGGGAACCACCGAAUGAAAAUUCAAGUCUGGAAGAGCAGUUGAAAAGGUACCCAAAUUAGAUUAUAUUCAGGCAGGGGGAGGGGAUACAGACAACCGCAAUGGGAUGGCUGAGCUCUAGAUAGAUAAAGGGAUUUGUUAAGUGUCCUCUGCAAAAAGGACUCUGAAGACACAGCCUAGAUUCAGAGGGGAGAAUGGAAGCAUUUUGGUAACCAAUCAUCUGAAUGGCCCAAGUACAAUAAGAAUAGUCUAUCCAAGCAGCAUUUAUGGAACCAGGUCCAAUGCUGGGCACAUUGGGUGGAUGGGUUGUGUAAAAAUAAACACAGUUUUUGUUAAAUUCACAGUUAAGGCCCUUGUGCUCAAUCUCAUUUCCAUCUCUAUCUGGGACAAAAUAGAGAGUAUGCAGGUAAUCUGCUUUCUUUUCUAAUCUAACUUCCCUGAGAGACUCAAUGAGGCAGACUUGAGCUAUUUCACCUGGGUCACAGAGAGAAGUCUGUCCUACCUUAGAAAGCCAAAGAAGCCCCUGGUUCCCAGCUCUGUGGGUCCUUUAGGUGGAGGUGGACUGUUCUGCUGCAGUGGAGGGAUAACCUGCCCUGCUAGGCUGUCCUCCCACUUAGAAUCUGCAAGGAAAACACUCAGGCAGGGAAAGGUGUUAGUCCGUGGGCUACUGUCACGUGAGCACCCAAGGACACCCAAGCAUGAGCCAAGGGCAGCCUCACACCAGGGGUUUUUGAAGCCAGGUGAAUUGUUUGUUCUGACCUUCCCAGUUUCACCUCAGCUCAGUAAGAUGCUAUUCUGACCUUGGAAUGUUUCAAAAUCAGGCCCCGGAGAUUUUUGCACUACUCAAGUCCCAGCCACCCACCACGGCUGGUGUCUUCACACGGAAUGACGACUUGUUGAAGAGCUCACUCGCCUACACCCCUGCAUCUGUGAUAGCUGCAGGCCACGCUGAAUCCCCACGCUGCUGCGUAAAAGAUCGGCAAGUUGGAAGGGCAACACCUCGAUGUGCAUUUCCAGCCUUUGCCCAGCAUCCACGCACUUUCGCUACUAACACUAACGCCCCGAAGGGAAGAGAAGAGACUGCUUCCCAGAGAUUGUCCUCCAGCAAGAGAGAAAAGUGAAACACAUCCCUCCCAACUUUUCUGUAAAACUAUCACUCCACAUGGAACUGUUCUGAAACAGUGAGAAUAUCGGCUCCACUAUCAGAAGCUGGGGAAGGGCAUGCAUUGCCUCCCUUCACUCCUCUUGGGAGCGAGUGGGGGUGGGGGUGGUGUUGCCUUAUGGCUAAUUUCCAUCAACCAGUCCCCACUGUAUUCCAACACCUGCUGUACCUUCAUACUCCUACACACACAACCCCCAGGAUGGUGCAGCUGUGCCAUGACCAUGAAAAUAAGGGCGAUAACAGACAUGAUUCCGCCGGGUCUCAGCGUUCUGAGACACUCUCUCGUGACCUCAUUAGGUCAGGGGUUGGUGUGGGGGUGGUGGUCAAGGAUGAAGCUGUAAGGUGACAGGGCGGUAUGUGGCUUCUAGUACUCAAGGGCAGGCCCCCAGGCCGGAGGAUGGCCAACAGGCACCUCCAUGGGAGUGAGGCACAUCACCCACUGAGUGAGCAUGCCCAGGCUCAGAGCUCCGUGCUGCCCUGCUCAUCAGAGAACUAACAGCGAUAGGGUGGUUACUGAAGGAGAAUAAAUACGAAUUUCCCAGAA